GACCUUGUGGUGUAUAACAUGUUGGAUUGCAAAUCCAAAGACGUAAAUUAAUAUUUUACCGGGGUCU
rnacentral:tRNA from 1 species